rnacentral:lncRNA from 1 species
CUGAUCUACAAGUAGCAGUCUGUGAUGGAAAUGGUGCUGGACUUGGUGAAGCAGGACCGGAGCUUCUCCUCGGCUCUGCUAUGAAGUAGCUGACUGUGGUUCGGGGGAGGGAUACUCUGGGCUAUGCUUCCUAGGUCCACAGCCUGAGGGCUGACAUAAGAUGACCUCUGAGGUUCUGCACAACCCUGAGACUUAGAGCUUUUCUGACUUGUUUUUCAAGCAUGAAGGCUGCUACAGACAUUCUUCCCUUUUUCUCUGUGACUGGAACACAGACUGGAUGGCAACGAUGGUAAAGAUGCAUGGAGAUCGGACACAUCCAUCAGAAUGCUGAAAACCAAAG